CCUUGCUGGGCUCUUUUGUUUAUGGAUCUGAUUGUUUGUGUAACUGGAGGCAUGGAUAUAUGUUUCAUUCUAUGAUUAAAAUCCAGUAUUGUCAUUAUCGCAUAACCUCUAAUUGUGAGAAUAUCAGAAAAACCCAAAUCGAGGGACAGAGUCCAAGAUAUGAGAGACAAAGAUGGAGGAACUGUUCCAGAUUGGUGUGAAUUAAGGAGAAAUAGUAAUUAAGUCCAGUGAGGAUCUGGAUGGGAUCCUAGAACAAGUAAAAUCAUCAGUGGAAAUUGGUGGAUGUCUAAUAAAGUCUGUAGUGUGGUUAGUAAUUCUGUACCAAUGUUAAUUUCCUGUUCUUGCUAAUUUCACUUCAGUUAUGGGGGGAAUGGGUAAAAGAGAAAAGGGGUUAGGGAACUCAUGGAUCAUUUUGCAAAUUUUCUUUGUCAAAAUUCAAAAUAAAAGUUUCGAAAGUCAGUUUAAAGACUAAUAUUAAGUAGGUAGUGGUACAGAUGGUAGAGGCUUGGUAGACCUUGUGGAGGUGGCAAAGAGACGUCUGUGAGGCACGGGUGUAGGCAGAGGAGCAGGGGGUCUCCAGGCCUGGGGGUCCCCAUCACUGCCCCUCCCUCCCUCUCCAGGGGCAUUGAGGUAGGUGGUCCUCCGACUGUCCACCCUCUGCCCUCGUUACUGCACAAAGGUGCAGCUCGUGGUUGCUUUUCCCAAUUUGUGUCCCACUCCCACCAGCUUCUGCUCCGACUUUACUAGGCUUAUGUUAUGGACCAUGGGCUUCCAGCUCAAAUUCCGAGAAAGUCCAAUAUUCCGUUAGAGCCCUGUUAGCUUCUUGAUACUUAGUACCUAUUUUGAUUUUUAAAAUAUUGCAACUGUUAUUGAUAUAAACAUGCCAUCCAGUUCUAUUCAUAAAUAAAGAUAAUGACCAGAAAUAGGACCAUUUUAUCUGUAAGCUUUCCAUAGUCCUGGACAUCGUGACUGUACUUUUUACUUUAGACUUUCCAUUCCCCCCCUCCUCUUAAUUAAUUAAAGUUCAAAACAAAGUAUUUCCUGACUUUGGACAUGUGGUAGAUAAAGGCUUUUUAUUUGAAAUUUAAGAAAUGAAAUUUUCUACAAUGGAAAAUAUCUGGAGGUUUUAUUUCUUUGACUUUACGUUUUGUCAGUGAGCAACUUUGCAUUUUCAGCAUUGUGUGCGCUCACGUAUCAGUGUGUAAUUUUAAAUUGGUAAUUACUUGCUUUCCAACAGUCUUCCGAUGGGGUGUAUGGUUUUGUUAAGAAGUUCAGCUUUAUUAAUUUUUCUAAUGAUUCACUUAUAAUGCCUUGGACCUUUGAUUUUUAUUUUGGAUUAAAUUUACAAAAAUAAAAUGUUGAUACUCUAGUCUGGAACCCUUCUGGGGAUGGGAGGGUAUUUUUACUUUAUUUGAAAUGUUUAACUUUCCCAUUUAUUAUUUAGUUUCUUCUACAUACCAAGUAACUUUGUUCAAAAUUUAGUUUUACUUAUGAAGAAAAUACAUAAAUUUGGGGGGGGAAAUUUAAUUUGGUAACAAUAAAGAAAGUGAUUUUUGUUUUUUAAAUCUUACCUAAGAAUAUUUUCCCCGUUGCUUUUCAGUGAGAGUGGGAGGGGGGCGGAGUUCCAGAGGAGCUCACUGUGUGAAGAAAUUGGUUUCGUUCUUAGAAAUCUCCUGCAGCACUAACUUCGAGCGGGUCUGUGGCCUCGGGCCAUUUAACCUGUCGUGCGUCAGGCUUCUCACUGAGUCAGGUCGUUUGACUGGAUGAUCUGUAGAAGCCUCUUUGGGUCAAAACGUUCUAUAAUUUUUGUCUUUCUUUGUGUUUAGGAGGAAAAGGCUUCUCUCUUACAUCGUACUCAGGAAGAAAGAAGAAAGAGAGAGGAAGAAAGGCGAAGACUGAAAAACGCAAUAAUUAUUCAGUCAUUUAUUCGAGGCCAUCGAGACAGGAAACAGCAAUAUUGCAUCCAGAGAGCUGCGUUUGACCGCGGGGCCAGCUCCUCUCAGUCUGGGGGCACUUUUCCUGUUGCCAGUGGUCCCAACCUCACCCUGUUGGUGAGGCAGCUUCUGUUUUUUUACAAACAGAAUGAAGACUCAAAGCGUUUGAUAUGGAUGUAUCAGAACCUAAUUAAACACAGCUCUCUGUUUGUCCAGCAGUUGGAUGGACCUGACAGGCUUACAUGCUUAUAUCAGAUAAAGAGGUUGAUGAGCCUCUGUUGCAGGCUGCUGCAAAGCUGUAACGAUGACAGUUUGAAUGUUGCACUUCCCAUGAGAAUGCUUGAGGUGUUUUCAUCCGAGAAGACUUACUCGUCUGUUUUACCAGAUGCUAGCUACGUGGUGUCAGUGGUUGAGCAAGUUUUGCACUACAUGGUUCAGAAUGGUGAGUGGUGGGCGGGGCGG